GUGAAUGUAGUUUAAACAUAAAACGCUAGAUUGUGAUUCUAGAAACUGGAGGUUAAACUCCUCUCAUUCACCG
rnacentral:tRNA from 1 species